CUUAGGCAGAGGAGCAGAGGCAUGAGGAGGUGGAAGCUGGACGCUAGGUGGCUGCUGCAGGGGAACCUGGAAGUGGCCAGGGCGAGCUGAGACCAGGCGCCAGCAGCAUCUGCUACAGUGUGAAGAGGUACCAGCCAGAAAGAGCCAAGGAUAUCAGGAGGCCUUUCCAGGAAGAGGAAACAGGGGUGGAAACCAUUUCAUUGCUGCUGGGCUCCUGGGGCCUAGAUCAUUGUCUGACAGCUCCAGCUCUGUGCCGUUACUAGGAUCCUGGGCUGAUGAGAAACCAUCUCCAGCUAAGAGAUUGUGAUUGACCACUGAGUAGCUGCCCAAGUUGAGACGCUCUGCUCAGCCCCCAGCCUGACAGGACAAUUGGCCCACACUGCCCCGGAGGCUGCUGGGCAGGAGCUGGUAAUUGACAGAGAACUCAUUAUCGAAGGACAGAGCCUCUGAGCAUGCUGGGAAUUGGAACUGACAGAGCCCAAGGGCCUGGGAAUCGGAUCACUGGGAAGAGACAGCCCAAGUGUUGUGUGUCCUGGACGUACAGAGGAAAAUAAAGUUUCAGAAAUUGCUCGGCACUAAAAGAGAGCUCUGGUAUUGAAAGCCAUCUCUGAUCCGCUCUCCAUGUGGCUUUGGGCAUGCAAUUGACCUCUGUGAGCUUCAGUUUUGUCACCUCCAAAAUAGAGAUGACAAUAAAUCUUUUUCGUGGAGUAAGAAAUAAGGAUGCUGUAACUAUGACAUUGAUGAUCAUCAUUAUAACAACUAGCAGCUAUUUCACAUCCUCCAGAUGCCAGAGACCAUUUGAAGAGUGCUAAAAAUGGGCCAGGCACAGAGGCUCACACCCGUAAUCCCAGCGUUUUGGGAGGCCCAGGCAGGAGGGUCGCUUGAGCCCAGGAGUUUGAGAAUAGCCUGGGCAACAUAGUGAUAACCCUCCAUCACUACAAAAAAUCAGAAGGGUGUGGUGGUGCACACCUGUAGUCCCAGCUACAAGGGAGGCUGAAGUGGGAAGAUCGCUUGAGCCCAGGAGUUCAAGGUUGCAUGAAGGAGUUCAAGGUUGCCAUGAUCACACCACUGCACUCCCGCCUGGGCUACAAAGCAAGAUCCUCUCUCAUAUAAAAUAAAAUAAAAAUAAUAUUAAAAUGCAUUAACUGUGUGAUCC
rnacentral:lncRNA from 10 species